rnacentral:rRNA from 1 species
UACAGAGGUGGCAAGCGUUGUUCGGAAUUACUGGGCGUAAAGGGCGCGUAGGCGGUUUGUUAAGUCGGCUGUGAAAGCCCGGGGCUCAACCCCGGAGGGUCGGCCGAUACUGGCGAACUAGAGUACGGAAGAGGUAGCUGGAAUUCCCGGUGUAGCGGUGAAAUGUGUAGAGAUCGGGAGGAACACCAGUGGCGAAGGCGGCUCACUGGUCCGGUACUGACGCUGAGGUGCGAAAGCGUGGGGAGCAAACAGG